UAAUACGAAGGAUGCAAGCGUUAUCCGGAUUUAUUGGGUUUAAAGGGUGCGUAGGCGGACUUAUAAGUCAGUGGUGAAAUCUCGAUGCUUAACAUCGAACGUGCCAUUGAUACUGUAGGUCUUGAGUACAGAUGCCGUUGGCGGAAUGUGUCAUGUAGCGGUGAAAUGCAUAGAUAUGACACAGAACACCGAUUGCGAAGGCAGCUGACGAAACUGUAACUGACGCUGAGGCACGAAAGCGUGGGGAUCAAACAGGAUUAGAUACCCUGGUAGUCCACGCCCUAAACUAUGAUUACUAGCUGUCGGCGAUACACAGCCGGUAGCCAAGCGAAAGCGAUAAGUAAUCCACCUGGGGAGUACGCCCGCAAGGGUG
rnacentral:rRNA from 1 species